UACGGGGGGGGCAAGCGUUGUUCGGAAUUACUGGGCGUAAAGGGCUCGUAGGUGGCCAACUAAGUCAGACGUGAAAUCCCUCAGCUUAACUGGGGAACUGCGUCUGAUACUGGAUGGCUUGAGUUUGGGAGAGGGAUGCGGAAUUCCAGGUGUAGCGGUGAAAUGCGUAGAUAUCUGGAGGAACACCGGUGGCGAAGUCGGCAUCCUGGACCAACACUGACACUGAGGAGCGAAAGCCAGGGGAGCAAACGGG
rnacentral:rRNA from 1 species